rnacentral:rRNA from 1 species
AUACGGAGGAUCUGAGCGUUAUCCGGAUUUAUUGGGUUUAAAGGGUGCGCAGGCGGCCAUUUAAGUCAGCGGUUAAAUCGUGGGGCUCAACCCCAUUCUGCCGUUGAUACUGGGUGGCUUGAUUGCGGUCGAGGUUGGCGGAAUUCGUUGUGUAGCGGUGAAAUGCAUAGAUAUGACGAAGAACACCGAUUGCGUAGGCAGCUGACCAGACCGCAAAUGACGCUCAUGCACGAAAGUGCGGGGAUCGAACAGGAUUAGAUACCCUGGUAGUCCGCACAGUAAACGAUGAAUACUUGUUUUCGGCGAUAUAAUGUCGGAGGCAAAGCGAAAGCGAUAAGUAUUCCACCUGGGGAGUACGCCGGCAACGGUGAAACUUAAAGGAAUUGACGGGG